ensembl:lncRNA
CUUUGAUGACCUUUAUUUUAUUGCAACUUGAUUUAGAUUUUUUGGAUUUAAAUUUUGAGUGGGUAUUACUCAAAAGGUACAAAAGUUGAAAGGCACAAAAGGAUACACAACAGGGAGUCCUCCUGUUCCUCAGGUCUCCCCAGAGCAAUCCAGGUAACAAGCUGCAGCCAAGGGUAUUCUGCAGGUGCUCCAGGGCAUAACUCCCUCUCGGCUCUCCUUUUUCUAAAAGUGAGGUUGAAGGAAGUGAAGACUGUCACUGGCUCUUAGAGGCGCCUUAUUUUGAAGCAGAAGCAGAGCCAGAAUCCCUGGCAUUCUAGAUCAUAACUCUUUGCAAUCGUUGCAGUAAGCCCUUGCAGUUAACCUCUUUACAGUGUCUAGUUGUUAACCGGCUCAUCAGCGUGGAUGUUGGAUGUUUCAAUCCGGAUAAUUCAAGUUAAAAGUAGCUUGGUUUAAAACCGGAGUACUUGGGGCAAGGAAGUCUUAUCAGAAGGCAACAUUUUUGUUGUUGUUGUUGUUGUUGUUCAUUAAAGGAAAGAAGGGUUUUAAAAGGCUGACCUAGGGUUUAAUCACACGGUUUGACUUUUGUUGAGUCUCGGGGAUGGCGCGUGUCAGACCCAAAGCGCAGACGUCAGCACGGUUUCCACUCUGGCAUCGGGGGACUAGUGUUCAGCCCAAGGGCUGCUUGCUCCUCUAACAAGGCGACCGGGACUCUAAGGCGCUGGCCUUGGUUCCAUCUUUCUAGAUCUCGGCCUGGACGUGGUGCAGAAGGGAUAAGGCCUCUUCCUCGCCUCCUCCACUGGUCCGGUGAGUGCGGCACAGGAAAGAGUCGCGAUGGCUCCAGAGCAGGCCCGCCCAGGGGGGAGCCCGCCAGCUGGGUCUCGGGCUCCUUCGGCCCAAACAGCCCGAACGGACUAGGCCAGCCAGCUCUGGCCGCUCGGUCCGAUCCCCUCCUGACCCACGGCCUCCACUCCUGCGGGGACGCGGGAGGAUUCCAUAGCCAAUCCCCUCGGCCAUGCUACCCCUUUCCCCGCCAAAAGUAGAUCCUUCUGCCUCGCUCCGCAAGCCAGCCCCACCCUGUCCUGCCCUUUCAUUCCAGAGAGGAACGGUCACGAGGCCAAGAACGCGACUCCGCGCACUAGGCAUCUCUCCGAGCUGGACC